rnacentral:misc_RNA from 1 species
UAAAUGUCUUGGCCGUGCGCGGAGGUGAAAGAAAAGGAUGUGAUGUUGAGCAGACGUAGGUGACAGUGAUAUACGUGUAAAUAAGAAAUGGACAGUUAGUACGAUUCGAAUCAUUUGUGUUGUGAAAAAGAGACCUUAGAUUGAAAGGUCCGGUGUUAUUUACGUCGAAAUAAUCACUGUGUAUACAUUAGCAGAUACAACUUCUUCAAGAAACUUUUGUUUGCCUGCAGUAGUAAUGUUUUGAAGUUACGUGUUCCCUUACUUGUUUAUUUUUGAAACAGUUUUUGAUAGUAAUUUGUCGUGGUUCCCAAGUUUCGGUCUAGUUUGAACUAAGUUAAUCCAUGAUCCCCCAUUAUUUAAGUAUUUUACGCCGUUGACGAUUGUAAGAACUGCAUGUAUGGAAGUAUCCGCAAUUUUUAAUGACCAGCCAGAGGCUGAGGAACUCACCACAGGAAUUUUUGGUGAUUUGGGUGAAGAACCAUGGUUGAAUGUCACAGGAGGGGAUUCAGAUAUGAACAUGUUUUUCCACAGGGUAGGUUCAGAUCAGAUUAUAUAUCAGAGAAGGAAGAAGAAAUGUAAAAUAAUUGGAAAAUAUGUGAUGGGAGAUUUACUAGGUGAGGGCAGUUACAGCAAAGUAAAAGAGCUGUUAGACACAGUUUCUCUCUGUAGAAGAGCAGUAAAAAUAUUAAAGAAGAAGAAACUGAGGAGAAUCCCAAAUGGGGAACAGAAUGUUCAGAGGGAGAUUCAACUGCUGAAAACACUACAACACAAGAAUGUAAUACAUUUGGUGGAGGUGCUGUACAAUGACGAAAAACAGAAAAUGUAUAUGGUAUUGGAAUAUUGCGUUGGAGGACUACAAGAUAUGCUUGAAAGUGCACCUAAAAAGAAGUUCCCACUUUGGCAAGCACAUGGGUACUUUAGUCAACUUAUUGAUGGCUUGGAGUAUCUUCAUAGCAAAGGAAUUGUUCACAAGGACAUAAAACCAGGAAAUUUGCUUCUGACACUUGACGAAACACUCAAGAUAUCAGAUCUAGGAGUUGCUGAGUCAUUACAUCCAUUUGCAAGGGAUGACACUUGUUCAACAAAUCAAGGCUCUCCUGCAUUCCAGCCACCCGAAAUAGCAAAUGGUCAUGAGAGAUUUGCUGGGUUCAAGGUUGAUAUUUGGAGCAGUGGAGUUACUUUGUAUAACAUCACUACUGGCCAGUACCCUUUUGAAGGUGACAACAUUUACAGGUUGUUUGAAAACAUUGGAAAUGGGAAGUUUUCAAUACCAAAUGAACUUGACAAUCUCCUCACAGAUUUGCUUAGAGGGAUGUUGGAAAAAGAUCCAGAAAAGAGGCUCUCUCUACAACAAAUACGACAACAUCCGUGGUUCUUACACAAACCAGAUCGAACUACAGAGUAUGUUCCUGUGCCUCCUCUACGUGGAGAUGAUUAUCAUAUGAUGACAGUUUUGCCAUAUCUUAUGGAGUUCCACUAUGGGGAAGAAAUUUCUGGCACUGAAAAUCAUGUUGAUUAUAUUACAGAGCACCAACUUAAUGUAUUGCACCAUGUGGAAAGGGGAUGGAAUGAAAAUUGGCAGUAGGCCAUAUUUUCCCCUUUCUGCACACUGGUUAUCAUUCAAAUUAAUGGAUGAUCAGUAAAAGUGAGGUACAUCAUCAAUACAGAAUUUGAGGAACGAAAGCAGCAGCAGCAGCAGCAAGAGACACAAGGACAGUUGAGACUGAAUGCAUCAGACUCUCAUCCACAUGCUGGUAGCGGUGGAAGUAAACGGCGCUGGAGACGACCAAUCUCGUGUAUU